GAUGAACGCUGGCGGCGUGCCUAAUACAUGCAAGUCGAACGAGGUGCUUUUGUAGCAAUACGAGAGUAUCCUAGUGGCGAACGGGUGAGUAACGCGUUGGUGACCUACCCCAAAGUGUGGGAUAACAGUCCGAAAGGAUUGCUAAUACCGCAUGUGGUCUUCGGAUUUAGAAACUGAUGACUAAAGGAGCAAUUCGCUUUGGGAGGGACCUGCGUCCCAUCAGCUAGUUGGUGAGGUAAUGGCUCACCAAGGCUACGACGGGUAGGGGACCUGAGAGGGUGACCCCCCCACAAUGGAACUGAAACACGGUCCAUACACCUACGGGUGGCAGCAGUAGGGAAUAUUGCACAAUGGGCGAAAGCCUGAUGCAGCAACGCCGCGUGUGCGAUGAAGGCCUU
rnacentral:rRNA from 1 species